UACAGAGGGUGCAAGCGUUAAUCGGAGUUACUGGGCGUAAAGGGCGCGUAGGCGGUUAUAUAAGUGAGAUGUGAAAUCCCUGGGCUUAACCUAGGAACUGCAUCUUAUACUGUAUGACUGGAGUAUUGUAGAGGGUAGUGGAAUUUCCGGUGUAGCGGUGAAAUGCGUUGAUCCAUAGGGUACCGCCAAAAAAGGCGAAGGCAAUUAACUAUUCCAUUUCUAACGUUGAGGCAUGAAAGCGUGGGGAGCAAACCGG
rnacentral:rRNA from 1 species